rnacentral:tRNA from 1 species
GCCUUCGUGGUGUAACGGUUAGCACACUCGGCGCGUAUUCGAGAGGUCCAGGUUCGAGUCCCAGCGAGGGCA